AGGAAUCUUAGAAAUUACAUUUCCAAUGCAAUUAAGUUAGGCCUAUAUUCAGGGGACCUAGAAAAGGUGGGGACUGUUUUAAAUGUGUCUACCUUUAAAGGUGUCUAUAUGUCUAUAUAGGCCUAAAGGUGUCUAUAUAUGCCUAAAUUUCAUGGGGAAAUCCUGAUUUGUGUUCAUAGUACGGCCCCCGGAGGAUUUUAUGACCAUGGUAGGAAUUUGAAGUGGCCCUUCGAAUGAAAAAGGUUCCCCACCCCUGCAUUAAACCUUUCUUCUAGCCACAGCUCUGCUGUCAGUACAUUUUAUUAUGAUACUAUAAGCUCAGAAAUGAAGUUGAUCAAACAAUUCGAUCGGUGCUAUAAACAUUUAAAUGAACCGAAUAGAAAUCAGAAUAGAAACAUCUGAAUGAUCUUUCUUGGACAUAGCCUACAUUUUGAAGUGACCCUUUGAAUUAAAAAGGUUCCUCACCCCUGCUUUUGAGGAAAAACAUCAAUGUGCUUGGCCACUCUGGUUUUUAAAUUAUUCUGAACUAAAGCAAGGAUUGUUCAAGGAAGUUCAAAACAGACUGUCUCUGGUUAAAUUAGUUCUACACCAAGCCUUUAGGUGGCAGUACAACUAAUUCGCACAAUGCGAAUUCCACACACAAGCCACAAAGAAGCCAUCUACCGCGGUCAACAACACCGACCUAUCUGAACAAAACCACGCGCUGUCUGUGUGGUUUUUCACUGUUACAAGUUUCUUGGCGACAUGGGUGAAAGUUCCUCACAUACCAACGGAAAAUGGGCUUCACAUACAUGCUGCUGUCUCAUAAUAUGGCGAAGACGAGUCACUUGAAGGCCUAACAGCUCUUAUGAGCAGGGGCGCCUGCAGACUUGACCAGUAAGCUCCCAGAAGUGAGACUGAGUGCCUGUUGCAGUAUGAUGAGGAAGCAGUGACCAGAGACCUUCAGUAGACCCUGCUGGCAUGAUUGGAAGAACAUAAUCAACAGCAAUGUUUAUAAUAUUGUACAUACCUGUAUAGUCUGCACUAAAAUGCUGUACCUGUACUAUUUUUCCUCUUACUUUCAUAUUUACCACGUAUUUACUAUGAAUUGACAACUUUUACUCAAAUCCAUUUUUGUAUGUGCCCUGACUAAAACUAUCCUUAAACCUAACCUGUCAGAGGUGUAAUAACAACCUGCUCUUAGCAAUGUGGCAGCAGUCUACUUGGAUGCAGCGGGGAACAUAGAACCCUUUUUUUGAAAAAGCAUUGUAUGUUUCUGAGUUUUAUGAAUUGUGCCCUUCCCAAACCUAACCUGUCGUAGGGGCCUAUGAAA